rnacentral:rRNA from 1 species
CCUACGGGGGGCAGCAGUGAGGAAUAUUGGUCAAUGGGCGAGAGCCUGAACCAGCCAAGUCGCGUGAAGGAUGACGGCCCUACGGGUUGUAAACUUCUUUUGUCAGGGAGCAAUUGAGUCCACGUGUGGUCUUAGCGAGAGUACCUGAAGAAAAAGCAUCGGCUAACACCUUGCCACAACCGCGGGUAAUACGGAGGAUGCGACCGUUAUCCGGAUUAAUUGGGUUUAAGGGGUCAGUAGGCGGAAUAUCAAGUCAGCGGGAAAUAUUCGGGCCUCAACCCCGUCGUGCCGUUGAAACUGGCGUGCUUGAGUGGGCGAGAAGUAUGCGGAAUGCGUGGUGUAGCGGUGAAAUGCAUAGAUAUCACGCAGAACUCCGAUUGCGAAGGCAGCAUACCGGCGCGCAACUGACGCUGAAGCACGAAAGCGUGGGUAUCGAACAGGAUUAGAUACCCUUGUAGUC